GAUGAACGCUGGCGGCGUGCCUAAUACAUGCAAGUCGAGCGAACAGAUGAGGAGCUUGCUCCUCUGACGUUAGCGGCGGACGGGUGAGUAACACGUGGAUAACCUACCUAUAAGACUGGGAUAACUUCGGGAAACCGGAGCUAAUACCGGAUAAUAUAUUGAACCGCAUGGUUCAAUAGUGAAAGACGGUUUUGCUGUCACUUAUAGAUGGAUCCGCGCCGCAUUAGCUAGUUGGUAAGGUAACGGCUUACCAAGGCAACGAUGCGUAGCCGACCUGAGAGGGUGAUCGGCCACACUGGAACUGAGACACGGUCCAGACUCCUACGGGAGGCAGCAGUAGGGAAUCUUCCGCAAUGGGCGAAAGCCUGACGGAGCAACGCCGCGUGCGGGAUGACGGCCUUCGGGUUGUAAACCGCUUUCGCCUGUGACGAAGCGUGAGUGACGGUAAUGGGUAAAGAAGCACCGGCUAACUACGUG
rnacentral:rRNA from 1 species